rnacentral:rRNA from 1 species
AAGUCGAGCGGGCGCGAGCGAUCGCGUCAGCGGCGCACGGGUGAGUAACGCGUGGGAACCUGCCCUUUGGUAUGGAACAACCCUGGGAAACUAGGGCUGAUACCGUAUGAGCCGCCGCGAGGCGGGAAAGAUUUAUCGCCGAAGGAGGGGCCCGCGUCCGAUUAGCUAGUUGGUGGGGUAACGGCCUACCAAGGCUGCGAUCGGUAGCCGGUCUGAGAGGACGAUCGGCCACACUGGGACUGAGACACGGCCCAGACUCCUACGGGAGGCAGCAGUGGGGAAUAUUGGACAAUGGGCGCAAGCCUGAUCCAGCCAUGCCGCGUGGGUGAAGAAGGCCUUCGGGUUGUAAAGCCCUUUUGGCGGGGACGAUGAUGACGGUACCCGCAGAAUAAGCCCCGGCUAACUUCGUGCCAGCAGCCGCGGUAAGACGAAGGGGGCAAGCGUUGUUCGGAAUUACUGGGCGUAAAGGGCGCGUAGGCGGCCUGAUAAGUCAGCCGUGAAAGGCCUGGGCUCAACCUGGGAAUGGCGGUUGGGACUGUUGGGCUAGAGAGCGGGAGAGGAUGGUGGAAUUCCCAGUGUAGAGGUGAAAUUCGUAGAUAUUGGGAAGAACACCGGUGGCGAAGGCGGCCAUCUGGACCGUAUCUGACGCUGAGGCGCGAAAGCGUGGGGAGCAAACAGGAUUAGAUACCC